ACGCUCGACACCUACGGGGGCAGCAGUGGGGAAUAUUGCACAAUGGGGGAAACCCGUGAUGCAGCGACGCCGCGUGGAGGAAGAAGGUCUUCGGAUUGUAAACUCCUGUUGUUGGGGAAAAAGAGGAUGGUACCCAACAAGGAAGUGACGGCUAACUACGUGCAAGCAGCCGCGGUAAUCUGAGCGGGCUGGCAAGGC
rnacentral:rRNA from 1 species